rnacentral:rRNA from 1 species
CGAGUUUUGAACGGGUUGUAGCUGACCUCAAUUGGGGUAUGUGCACGCCUGGCUCAUUCCACUCUCAAACCCCUGUGCACUUAUUGUAGGCUUGGUGGGAUAGGCUGACUUUCAUUAGUCGGUCUUGAAAGCUUCGCCUAUGUUUUAAUACAAACGCUUCAGUUUAGAAUGUAAUCAUUGCUAACAAGCAAAUUAAAUACAACUUUCAGCAACGGAUCUCUUGGCUCUCGCAUCGAUGAAGAACGCAGCGAAAUGCGAUAAGUAAUGUGAAUUGCAGAAUUCAGUGAAUCAUCGAAUCUUUGAACGCACCUUGCGCUCUUUGGUAUUCCGAAGAGCAUGCCUGUUUGAGUGUCAUGGUAUCAUCAACCUUCAACACUUUUGUGAUUGAAGGCUUGGAUUUGGAGGUUGUGUCGGUGCAUUCGUAUCGACUCCUCUGAAAUGUAUUAGCGUGAAUCUUACGGGAUCGCCUUCGGUGUGAUAAUUACUGCGCCGUGGACGUGAAGUAUAACAGUGUUCGUGCUUACAAUCGUCUUUAACAGAGACAACACUUUGACAAUCUGACCUCAAAUCAGGUAGGAUUACCCGCUGAACUUAAGCAUAUCAAUAAGCGGAGGAAAAGAAACUAACAAGGAUUCCCCUAGUAACUGCGAGUGAAGCGGGAAAAGCUCAAAUUUAAAAUCUGGCGGUCUUCGAUCGUCCGAGUUGUAGUCUGGAGAAGUGUCUUCCGCGCUGGCCCGUGUACAAGUCUCUUGGAACAGAGCGUCAUAGAGGGUGAGAAUCCCGUCUUUGACACGGACUACCAGUGCUUUGUGAUGCGCUCUCAAAGAGUCGAGUUGUUUGGGAAUGCAGCUCAAAAUGGGUGGUAAAUUCCAUCUAAAGCUAAAUAUUGGCGAGAGACCGAUAGCGAACAAGUACCGUGAGGGAAAGAUGAAAAGCACUUUGGAAAGAGAGUUAAACAGUACGUGAAAUUGCUGAAAGGGAAACGCUUGAAGUCAGUCGCGUCGUCUAGAAAUCAACCUGGCAUUCGCUCGGUGCACUUUCUAGUUGACGGGCCAGCAUCAGUUUUGACCGUUGGAGAAAGGCCUUUGGAAUGUGGCACCUUCGGGUGUGUUAUAGCCUUGGGUCGUAUACAACGGUUGGGACUGAGGUUCGCAGCACGCCUUUUGGCCGG